rnacentral:lncRNA from 1 species
GCUUGAUAGAGAUAUGAUGCUGAAUAAAUCGGUCCCAUUUUAUAAGAUUUCCAAUCACUGCUAGAUCGAUAGAACACUUCCAUCCCCUACAACAUUUCGGUGCCACAUCAUUGCUGAUGUUGUUAGAUCGUUGUUACAGAAUUCAGGAUUCUCUCCAGCAUCACCAUCACAGAGCACUGGACAGCGCGCCACGUCAGGAUCGAUGAGUUCCUCCUACCAUAUGUGUUCCCCGAAAAGGUUUGUGAAUGCAGUGGUGGUGACCAGGCCCGUG